rnacentral:rRNA from 1 species
UACAGAGGUCUCAAGCGUUGUUCGGAUUCAUUGGGCGUAAAGGGUGCGUAGGCUGUCGAGUAAGUCAGAUGUGAAAUUCCGGGGCUCAACCUCGGCACUGCAUUUGAUACUGCUUGGCUAGAGUUUUAUAGAGGAGACUGGAAUUUACGGUGUAGCAGUGAAAUGCGUAGAUAUCGUAAGGAAGACCGGUAGCGAAAGCGAGUCUCUGGAUAAUAACUGACGCUGAGGCACGAAGGCCAGGGGAGCAAACGGG